CUCCUGUCGUAGGCAAACCAUCAUAAACAGCAGUAGGUGUUUUAUGUACAGAUCUGUUUUUAAGAGGAAAAACCACGUGGUGGACUGAAAAUGGAAUUGAUGAGCUGGGAGGAAACAGUUGCUUUGGAGAAAUGCCACGUUCCAGAUAUGGGGCUCAGUGAGCUGAUUGUGGAGAGGCUGGAGGAUGAAGACUGACUCCCCACCCCCAUGAAAUGAUCAGGGCUGAAGUGGAAAAAUGAAGUACUGUAACUGAAUCUUGAAAAUGGUCUGUAAUGAAACAUCCUGGACCUGAGCCCCAAGGACAGUAGGGUGCAAGAACUCUGAAGACAAGAUUGGCUGGUUUCGCUUCUCCCUCACCCUGGAUCCCUUAUAGGAAUCACAGAUGGAUGAUUUGAGAUGAGCCUUAAAGGAAAGGAAAAUGUAUCUUUCUCUCCACCAGCAUCAACUGUAAGAGAGAAUUUGGGGCCUGAAGAUUAAAAGAUUUGCCCUGUCUCCAAUCUGCAUUACAAGGACUCUUUGAAGUUAUGUCCAGGAAAGGCUAUACUAAAAACAGGAUAAAUAAUAAAACUAGAUUGAAUGGA